ensembl:lncRNA
AAAAAAAUCAUUAUUAUUUUGGGGGGACUUUUAUUUUGACGGGCGGAUUGGUUUUCGGCGUCGUGAGUCAGCGAGGAGAAGAAGAACGCGGUUGUAUGUGUGACGCACAGAAAAAGUGAGUGUUGUAUUUGAGAAGCUCGUCCGAUAAAGUGACUUAAAUGAAGGUUAAUCGGGGCUUAGAUCGAAUAAAGGACAACAUCAAGUAAUUUUUGUGAGCUGUGUCCCGCGUUUCGUAGGUUUUUUUUUGUGAGUUUUGAUCUGCGAAUCGCAUUGCGUUGGACUGCUGGAGUGACGCAGUAAUGUUUGUGAAGGCUACAAGAACUGUAAGUGUAUUUAAAGUACAAGUUUAGCUUGAUUAGUGACGAUUGAAGAGAUUUUAUUUUUUUUCUUCCUCCACAUUUUUGUUAAAGUUUUGGACUUCUUCCAUCUUGAUUGAGAAGCACUCGUACAAACUAACGAUCCAGGAAUUUUAGUGUUCGGCACGUGUUAUUGCACGUGAGAUGCAAAUUGCUGUCUGGAGUUGGUGCUGAACAUCGGGGGUUUUUUUCCAGAAGAUUUGAGUUUAAGACUAUUUUGUGUUACCCUGCCAUCCAACGACAUCUCAGUUUGACAUCUCAGUGGUGUAUCGCAGUUUAAUACAUCCCUGCUGGUUCAUUUCAUUUUUGAUUCACCUCAGUUUGAUUCAUUCGCAUUCGACUCAUUUUUGAUUAAUUUUUUUGUGGGACAUUUCAUUGAGCUUGAGUGACAUUGCUACAAAAUCUCAAGAUAAUUUCAACGCACGCUACGUCAAGACAACUCAUCUCAAUUCCUUAUUUUUUUUUAAAUAUUUUUGAUCCGAGGAACUUUGUACUGUGAGAGUUCGGUUGAAUCACAGAACCUAAAGUGAACUGAAGCUGUCAAGGAGUAGGGGCGUCUCAGCUACUUUAUUAGACCAGAGGAGGGAGGAAUAUAUUUGAUUUUCUCACACCUUUUACUUUUACUUCAGGAAGCCAGUGACAUAAGCUGAAGCCUACCCUCGUCGGUCUGUACAUUCCAAUAAAGUAGAACACAACAUACAUACAAUUAGUGUGUAAUGAGAUUAAAAGCACUGGAAGCGGGGACUAGGAUCUUUUCAUUAUUCAGUCUUCCGUGGCAGCACUAAUACAUUUUCCCCUACAAGACGGGUUAAAUACUCGUUACAUAUAC